rnacentral:rRNA from 1 species
AGGAGUAUGAGAAGGCAUACCCGGGGAACUGAAACAUCUAAGUACCCGGAGGAAGAGAAAGCAAAUGCGAUUCCCUGAG